rnacentral:misc_RNA from 1 species
AAGUCGUAACAAGGUUUCCGUAGGUGAACCUGCGGAAGGAUCAUUAACACAUUUUGAUUCAUCAAAACGUAUUUUGCUUUCUAGUUGCUUUUUCCUCUAGGGGAAGGUGACGAGAAAGCAAAAUUCAACCCCCUUUCUAUGACGAACUAUUUGAACAAAAAUGGGACGAAAUUGGUUUUGCUUCAGUCAAAAUUUCUAAAUGCUGAAAUCUUGACUGAGACCGUUUCAACCGUUUUUUUCUUAUACCUCAUUUUUUUUACCCCUAUUACAACUUUUAUAGUCUGAAACAAAAUUAUUGCAUUCUAGGAUAAAAUCUAGAAUCUAAAUAACUAAGAAAACAACUCUUAGCAACGGAUAUCUAGGUUCUC